rnacentral:rRNA from 1 species
UAGGUCCCAAGGGUUGGGCUGUUCGCCCAUUAGGGUACGCGAGCUGGGGUCAGAACGUCGUGAGACAGUUCGGUCCCUAUCCGUCGCAGGCGUAGGAAAUUUGAGAAGACCUGUCCUUAGUACGGGAGGACCGGGAUGGACGUACCUCUGGUGUACCAGUUGUCCUGCCAAGGGCAUGGCUGGGUAGCUAUGUACGGAAUAGAUAAGCGCUGAAAGCAUCUAAGCGCGAAGCCAACUUCAAGAUAAGAUUUCCCACCGCAAGGGUAAGACCCCAGAAAGACUAUCUGGUUG